rnacentral:rRNA from 1 species
UACGAAGGGGGCUAGCGUUGUUCGGAAUUACUGGGCGUAAAGGGCUGGUAGGCGGCCAACUAAGUCGGAUGUGAAAUCCCCAGGCUUAACCUGGGAACUGCAUCCGAUACUGGUCGGCUUGAAUCCGGGAGAGGGAUGCAGAAUUCCAGGUGUAGCGGUGAAAUGCGUAGAUAUCUGGAGGAAUACCGGUGGCGAAGGCGGCAUCCUGGACCGGCAUUGACGCCGAACAGCGAAAGCUAGGGGAGCAAACGGG